rnacentral:lncRNA from 1 species
GUUGUAGUCUAGGGGUUACAAUUGCAAUUUUUUUAAAAGUUGGACGGGUGUAAAAAUAGAGUAAAAAAGCAAAGUCUAAAAAAGAUAGGUAUGUCCAUCAUUUGGUAUUAUGCAGACGACUUCAAAGAGUCAAAUCGUUAAGUUCAUAAUUUGGAUAUUUGAUCUAGGUGCAUGUAGUCUUUUGCUAUGCUAUUUUAUUACUAAUUUUUUUUUUUAAAUAUUUGCCAGGUGUAUGUGGACUUUUGCUCUACUAUUUUAUCACUAACAAUUUUUAUGCCAUUUUUUUCCAUCACCAAGAAUUUGGCUUUUCAUAAUUUGCCAAGAAACCAAAUAAUGAGAGUUUAUUUUCACUUCAAAUAAAACAUCACCCAGCAAAUGACAUAAAAUUUAGUAAACAUAUUUUUUUAACAAACUUUUAUAUAUUAAGCAAAAGGGACCAACAAGAGGCUAUUUAAUAAACACAUACAUACCUAUAUCACCCUAUUUAGUGUCCGACGUGUAAUAUGUCCAAUAUUUACCGGGCACUCUGUGUAUAGCCACCAGCCUCCCAC